rnacentral:rRNA from 1 species
AACGAACGCUGGCGGCAUGCCUAACACAUGCAAGUCGAACGAGACCUUCGGGUCUAGUGUCGCACGGGUGCGUAACGCGUGGGAACCUGCCCUUAGGUUCGGAAUAACUCCCCGGAAGGGUUGCUAAUACCGGAUAAUAUCUUCCGACCAAAGAUUUGUCGCCAUUGGGUGGGCCCGCGUUGGAUUAGCUAGGUGGUAGGGUAAAAGCCUACCAAGGCGACGUUCGAUAGCUGGUCUGCGAGGAUGAGCCGCCACACUGGUACUGAGACACGGCCCAGACUCCUACGGGAAGCAGCAGUGGGGAAUAUUGGACAACGGGCGGAGGCCUGAUCCAGCAAUGCCGCGUGAGUGAUGAAGGCCUUAGGGUUGUAAAGCUCUUUUAUCCGGGAUGAUAAUGACGGUACCGGGAGAAUAAGCUCCGGCUAACUCCGUG